UACGGAGGGGGCUAGCGUUGUUCGGAAUUACUGGGCGUAAAGGGCGCGUAGGCGGCGUGUCAAGUCAGGCGUGAAAGCCCCGGGCUCAACCUGGGAACCGCGCUUGAGACUGGCAUGCUCGAGUUCGGGAGAGGAUGGUGGAAUUCCCAGUGUAGAGGUGAAAUUCGUAGAUAUUGGGAAGAACACCGAUGGCGAAGGCAGCCAUCUGGACCGACACUGACGCUGAGGCGCGAAAGCGUGGGGAGCAAACAGG
rnacentral:rRNA from 1 species